rnacentral:rRNA from 1 species
UACGGAGGGGGCUAGCGUUAUUCGGAAUUAUUGGGCGUAAAGGGCUCGUAGGCGGCCAACUAAGUCAGACGUGAAAUCCCUCGGCUCAACUGAGGAAGUGCAUCCGAAACUGGCAGGCUUGAGUACUAAAGAGGGUCGCGGAAUUCCCGGUGUAGAGGUGAAAUUCGUAGAUAUCGGGAGGAACACCGGUGGCGAAGGCGGCGACCUGGGUAGAUACUGACGCUGAGGUGCGAAAGCGUGGGGAGCAAACAGG